AUAAAAAUUCAAUCGGAUUAUACCACCGAACAAUUGAAUCGGCUGAGAUUUUUACUGAAUUCAGACGAAGAGAAAAUGUAUUUUCGAACAAAUCGGUGUACCGUUCGUCAAUAAAUUAUAUGAUUUACGAUAGAAUGUGAAGGAAGCGCGACCAAGAUUAUUUCGUAUAACACGCAAGAUCUAUCGAGCCUCGUAAUUAAUUUUUAUCCCCCCUCCACGUUGUUAUCGUGCACGGGGGUUCCCUCUCGUCUCUCUCACUCUCAUUCGUUUUCAUAAUCCGUAACGAAAGUUCUGAUCAACAAAUUGUUUCAAUUCGAUAACGCAGGAAGGAGACAAAGUUCUUCAAUUUUAUUACGUAUCUCCAAUUUUUUUCGACAACAAAUUGUCCUGCGAUAAGAAAUCGAAAAAUGUUACAAUUGUUUACUAUAAAAGAAUGCUGGACCGUGCACAUUCCUCGUGAAUGGGAUCACCAUUCACAGAAAAAAUAAAUAGUUGACACUUUUUAACGAUGCAAACUUCGUGCCAUCGAUUUUUUACUUACAGGAGAGAAUUUUUUUCUCGGCGGCUCUCAGCAUCGUUGCUGAAGACCCCGACCAGCUCAGCCAACCCCAGAACCAACUGAAAAAAUUCCAUAAGUCAAUUUCGAAGGAAGAAACUCAGGAUUCGAUGCAUCCGAAUACCAGGCGAGGAAAAUCGCUGUUUCAUUGGAUUUUAAAAUAUACAAAAAUACGUUGAAGACGAAAUAAGAAAUAAAAAAGAAAAUAGAUAAACGAAUUAAAACUUAUUUAACGUGAAAUAACGCGAAGAAGAGGUUUACGAUUACAAAACCACUAGCGAAAGAUAAGAGCUCCGAGCGAUAAACUAGAUGAAGAUUCAAGGCCGAAAGCGAACACAACGUCGAGCCCCGGAGAAAGGGAAUAACAUUUUAAAAUGUCGCGACCCCCAAACAGUGAUGGUCAGUAAUGGAGAUAGCACCAACUAUCGAUGUACGAAUUUAAAAAAUGAACGACUGACAAAUAGUCGAUUUGUUAUGAAGCGACGACGCGAAUAAAAUCACCAUCCGUAUUUUUUCUUUCGCAUUUUUCACAUCGAUGAACACGUGUGAGACGAGGACAUGAAUUUUCGAAUACAUCAUUUGUAAGUUUGAAAGAUGUUACGCAAGUUGGUGAAAAAAUGUUCGAAAAUAGCUUGUCAAAUUCAAAUAAACGUGCAAAGUGCCACAAAUUGGAUGUUGAAUAUUUAAUAAUUAACAAUUCGAAGGAAAAAUUAUAUUCGUGUGUUAAAAAGAUUAUAAAAAAAAAAAUAAUUGAGCAGAAGACUGUGACCGAGGUGAAAAUAACAAUAGUGAUAAUAACAACAAUAAUAAAUGCAAGAUUCCCAAAGGAAAUAUAUAAACAUGUGAGUAAAUAAAAAAUGAAAUAUAACCUAUCAU